rnacentral:rRNA from 1 species
GAUGAACGCUGGCGGCGUGCCUAAUACAUGCAAGUCGAGCGAACGGACGAGAAGCUUGCUUCUCUGAUGUUAGCGGCGGACGGGUGAGUAACACGUGGAUAACCUACCUAUAAGACUGGGAUAACUUCGGGAAACCGGAGCUAAUACCGGAUAAUAUUUUGAACCGCAUGGUUCAAAAGUGAAGGACGGUCUUGCUGUCACUUAUAGGUGGAUCCGCGCUGCAUUAGCUAGUUGGUAAGGUAACGGCUUACCAAGGCAACGAUGCAUAGCCGACCUGAGAGGGUGAUCGGCCACACUGGAACUGAGACACGGUCCAGACUCCUACGGGAGGCAGCAGUAGGGAAUCUUCCGCAAUGGGCGAAAGCCUGACGGAGCAACGCCGCGUGAGUGAUGAAGGUCUUCGGAUCGUAAAACUCUGUUAUUAGGGAAGAACAUAUGUGUAAGUAACUGUGCACAUCUUGACGGUACCUAAUCAGAAAGCCACGGCUAACUACGUG